UUAUGGAUUUGGGUUGUAUAAGUGUGGAUCGGGCCAAGGAGUGGCAAAAAGCCCAAAUCAUUUCUCUUCUCUCUCCUCCCUCCCGAUUCUCUCUCCCUCUCCCUCCGCCGGAUUUUCUUCCCGCUCGUCCGCCGCCGUCCGGCCGCCUGGGACUGCCGCACCGGUCAUGUUCAGUCGGCCGUCGACCCAGCUUUCUUCUUGGACCGGUGAGAGCUGCCCUAGCGCCGCCGUGAAGGAGGGAGCUCGCCCGGAAGCUUCGGCUGCCUGGUGGAGUCCCGACGCCGGAACUCGCUCUUCCGGCCACCAUUUCGGAUGAUUUCAGUUCCAUUUGGAAGUGCUCUCCGUGUGUAGCUUUUCCCUAGAAGGUAAUGAUCCAAUUCAAAGUGUGUAGGAGGAUUUUCGGGCUAGGGUUUGAAUUGGGUGAUUUUUGGAUGUUUUGAUUCGAUUACCCUAUUUAGGCUUGAAAUUGGACUUAGUGCUAGUUAAGAAAGUUGUAGAGUAGGUUGAGAGGAAGCUGCUGUUUAAUUUUGGUGAGCAUUGGAGGUCGCCGGAAUCGGCCUCCGGCCGCCGCCGGUUAGGAGAUUUUUAGGGUUUUAAGUGUGGAAUAUUAAGAGGAGUAUAUUGAUGUGAUUUAUGGAAUUUUUGGAUGAGAUUUGGAUAGGUUUGUGAAUUUCCGAAGUUUGGUAUUUUUGGCGGUAAAUUAAUGUAGAAUCCGGCCGUAGGAUUUAAGUCGUAUUUUGAGGAGGUGGUAUUUACGACUGUUGAGUAUGAUAUUUAAGUUCGGAUCGUUCCGAUUUAAGAUUAUCGAAGUUAGGCAAUGAUGAGCGUAUUUAUGGCUCUCGGGUAAUUUUGCCUAUUUUGAUUAAAUAUUGGAUUAUUGGUUGGGAAAUUAAUAUUAUAUUUGGAACAGGACGUGAGGAGGCUCAAGCAGAAGAGACCUCGGAUCGACGUCAGGCUUAGGCCUAAAGUUGUGAGUGGACUUUUGUUUUAAAAUAUAUGCAUGCGGUGAUUCUACAUUAAAUGACUGAUUUUAUUGAAUACCAAUUUGUGGAUUUGUCUAUUUUCGCGAAGUCAUUUUCAGAAGUAAAUGUUCUCAUUUUUAAUGGCUAUCGUGUUAUUUGGAAAGUUACCGAANNNNN
rnacentral:lncRNA from 1 species